CGCAAGCCUGACGGAGCAAUACCGCGUGAGGGAGGAAGGCCUUUGGGUUGUAAACCUCUUUUCUUAAGGAAGAAGCUCUGACGGUACUUAAGGAAUCAGCAUCGGCUAACUCCGUGCCAGCAGCCGCGGUAAUACGGAGGAUGCAAGCGUUAUCCGGAAUUAUUGGGCGUAAAGCGUCCGCAGGCGGCAUUAUAAGUCUGCUGUCGAAGACCGCAGCUCAACUGCGGAGAGGCAGUGGAAACUGUAAAGCUAGAGUACGGUAGGGGUAGAGGGAAUUCCCAGUGUAGCGGUGAAAUGCGUAGAGAUUGGGAAGAACACCAGUGGCGAAAGCGCUCUACUGGGCCGUAACUGACGCUCAGGGACGAAAGCUAGGGGAGCG
rnacentral:rRNA from 1 species